CUUCAUUCGUCCUUGUGGCCACGGUGGUGUACACAUACACGAGUGGAUACUAGAUAGUGCCUAGCGAAAAAAAGGAAACACUUGCGAGUCUACGCAAGAAGAUUCAGGGGAUAUUUGUCCAUGAGCGGCUGUGCUUGCAUUAUACAGAACUUAUUUUUACCUAGUGCAAGUGUUUGUGAUUUCAAGCCAUCGCCAAUUAUUUGAUUUCAAGCUAUUGCCAAUUAUUUUGAUUUAGUGCUCACCCCAAGCUCUGAAGAACAACGCACUUAAUAAGCUUCAUGGAUGAAGGAGAUAAGAUCGUGUCUCCAAAAGGCAAGUCAUUUUGUACCACAAUGCUAUUGGAGCUGUGAUGUCAGUCAUUGUUUACUUAAGAUUAAAAGUUUCAUCUGAGAAAUAAGCAAAUUUUUGCAGUUAAGUUUCAAGUACAAAUUUAGGAGUAAUCAUCUGAGUCACACGUAAAGCUAGUCGUCUUAGAAUUAGAUAGUAGGAUUAGUUGCAGUGUUUGAACAGUGAGAUAAAAUUAGUAUAAAAUUGGUUAUGAUAGAAGAACAUGGCCUUCCAGUCUUGUAUCAAGGUGUUGUAACAUGGUACUAAAGUACCAUUGCUCUGACAUUGGUAAUGGUGUCUAGGUUGAUGAAGUAACAUGGUACUAAAGUAUCAUUGGUAUGACAUUGUUGGUGUUGUUGAUGAAGCAACAUGGUACUAAAGUACCAUUGGUCUGAGUUUAGGUGAUGAAGUAACAUGGUACUAAAGUACCAUUGGUCUGACAUUGGUGGGGUUUUCUAGGCUGACGAAGUAACAUGGUACUAAAGUACCAUUGGUCUGACACGUGGUGGUGUUUUCUAGGUUGAUGAAGUAACAUGGUAUUAAAGUACCAUCAGUUUGGUGUUUGGGUUGAUACCACAGUGAGUGUCUCACUGGGUACGAAGCCUCACCAAAGGAGAAGAUAAUGGUGUUGCCAAGUAUUUGGUAUUAGUGUUUUAUUGCUACAUUGUUUAUGCAAAAUGCAUAACGACAUUUAUUAUGUGAAUUAUGUUUGGAAUGUAUUGUAGAAUUCAAGUAUAUGUAUAUUAGCAUUUUUGUGACUCAGAAAAUCUAAAUCUUUUGACUCCUUAAUAGCAAGUGGUAUAAAAUGAAGGUUAUCCAGACUGAUCAAAACUGAUGCUCCUUAAAAAUUCAAGACAUUCGUUUUUCAAAACCUUUAACUGACAAAAUCAAGUACUUUUGCAAGUAAGUUGAUGCAUUGUAUAAGGAUUUCUCAUCCAUGACGUUCAUGUGUAAAGAUACUGCUAAAGUAUUAAAAGUCGUUUUGCCUCAUCAAUUUCUAUAAAACUAGUCAUAAGGUACUACCUGCACUUGUAUUUACCUUGAAUUAAGUUUUUGUCUUUUAAAAUUAAAAUAACUUUAAGCAGAGUACCCUUCUCACUACAUUGCAGAUAGUUUGAUGUGAAGUAAUAUAUUGAUUGAUUUAUUUAAAGUAGUCAAGCCAAGUUUCAUACACUCCUAAAUCUACUAAAAAUCAGUCUGAUAAUUCUGGACAGCCUUAGAUUCUUCGGCAUCGAAAAGGGCACACAAGGUAUGUGAUUUUGUUUCCAGAUAUUCUAAUCUUCCUUUAUUUCAGCAUUAACAUCCAGGUUGGUCACUCGACCUACCAUAAAGACAUCAAACCAUCAGACAUACCAAGAGACUAAAAGCCACCUGGUCUACCAAGAGACCUCAAGCCACCUGACCUACCAAGAGACUUAAGCCAUCUGACCUACCAAGAAGCAUGAAACCUGACUGCCCAAUAAGAUCCAGAAUUGUUGAUUUGAAGAUUUAUAUAUUUUUUUCUUCAAUCUCCGAAGACGGUUUUCUGGUACGUGUUUCUAGAUCGAAUUGAAGAAUUGCUUGUAAAUAUUUUCGGGAGGUAUACAUUGGUUUUGGUAAAUUAUUUGUCAGUCUUCUAGGAGAUUAUUUUGAAUCAAGUACUCUUCCUUGAAACCAUAUUCUACAGCCUAAACAUACUAUAGGUUUUAAAUCAUAAUUCGAGUUGUAAGUCUGGUGGGUACCACUUGGAAGUCUAUUUAAUCAUAUUGUAUAUGAACACAGAAAUUCCUUGCAAGCUGCCUACAAGGAUGCUGAGACCAGGAGUUCUUGGUGUUUACCUGAUGAGGGUGUGUAAGUAUUGGUCAAUUCAUCUUUGAUAUGCCUCAUUGGGUUCCCUAGUUGGGCCAUCACAAACACAACUCUAAUUAAAUAGUUUAGGAUCUGUGGCAUGUUUAUGUUGGAGAAUUAAGUCUCCAGUACAACUGCCUGACCCAAAUGAUUUCCCUUAUGAGGCUGACUGACUGUCCCAAAGCAUUCAGGGUGGUUAGUGAAUUUUAUAAUUUCAAUGUGGAAAAUACUCAAGUUGAGUGUCGUGGUUUUUUGUGGAAGUGAAAAGUGUUUUUUAGUGGCGUUCCUUCAACUGGAGGGUGAAGUUUUGUGUUGUGGUGGUUCUUGGUGAAAAAUCAGUGUUGAGUGACUUUCAUUCCGGUGUUGUGUGAAUUACUUUCAUCCUAACAGUAAACAAGAAGUUACUUUCUCCUCAGAGAAAUGUAACAGUAAUACAAGGAAGGCAACUACUCAAGUGUCAAGAAGUGGUUCUGUCAAGACUUGGGCACUUUGAGAAUGAAAUCCAGAAAUUUUUAAAACAGGUAAGCAUAGACUUUUAUAUGUUUAUAUUUUGUCUGCAAAGUUGAAAUCUGUAUUAACAAAGAUUCAUUUUAAUAUUCAAAAGUCUGAUAGUAUACCCGUAAAUGUCCUUAUCAAUGUAAUUUAACUUAAUACACAAGAUUUGAAUAAUCAUAAAUAAUCUUAAACCCUAAUUGAGAGUUACUUUGCUCUACUAGAGAUAUUGCCUGGAUUAAUGAUUUAUGGAAACUUGCUCACAUAAAGACAAACGGCUGUUUACUCAUAUUAACAGUUUUCAUUGUUUGUUCUUGCAGAUGUUGAGUUCUUCCGUAUCGAGCAGUUGGCUUCACUUCAAGGUAAAUGCUAACAAAGACCUUUUCAAUAUUUGCAUACUAAUUGUUUUUUCUAGUGUGUUUUUCAGGUAAUGAUUUGUUCAAGUGACGAGUAUUUGAAUUCCCGUGACAAGUAGUAGAAAGGAUUCACCGUGAAUAUUGUGACAUGGCGUAUUCUUUUCAUUUAUCUUUCAAAUCAACACAUGGAGUUUUGUGUGCAUUUUGAACAGAAUUAGCAAUUCCACAAUAAGGAAAAAGACUGAGUAGUGGAGUUAGAUAUAGCCAUGACUAACGACUUGGAGGAAACCAGAAGGAUUGACCGAAUCCAGGCUAUAACCUUCAGAGUGACACAAGAGCUGCUUCCAAACAGUGGUAUCGAUUUCUUCUCAUCAAGUGAAUUUCCAGGUAACUCCCCUGACCUUAAUGUCUGAAAACAUUGGUAGUAUCUUAAAGGAUUGUGUUGAAGUGCUCACAGUGAACUAUGAUGGUAUACCAAGCCUCGACGACCUGCGGAGAGAGGUGACCGAAGUGCUCAGGGAAAUGGAGUUUGAGUCUCAGCUUUUUUGCAAUUUGCUGAAAUCGUACCCCUCAAGAAAGCAGGCUGUGGUACAGGCAGAUGGAGGCCACACAAACUAUUAAACACUCAGAGAGAAACUUAAAUAUAUACCUGGUCUGAAUUACUUUUGUUUUUGUCCAUAUCAAUUUUAGUUUAUGCUGUAGAGGCGGGAGUCUAAUUUCGA